ACGAAUGGCCUUAGGCCUUCAACCUUGUAAACCUGUGGAAGCAAAACGUGCUUUGGCGCUUUUGGGCGCCAACUUUAUGCUUAGGUCAGUCUUGAUGUCUGAAUCAAAAACAAGAAACA
rnacentral:misc_RNA from 1 species